AAUACACACGCAAUUAUCCAGAGUCGGAACAUCCAGAACAAUGACCACCUGAUCACUGUGUUUUUCUUCUUUUCCUUUUUCCUUUCAAUUCUAUUCAUUUUACAACAACAGAGUUACAACAACAGAGGGACGAUUUGAUCGCCCCAAAAUUAUCAGCCAUAAAAAAUAGUUUAGCAUUCAAAUAUGCGCUUCAAUGAUCCAGUAUCUAGCCCCAGAUGAAAACACUUUUAUCAUAAUGGUUGUAGUUCUUGCUCAGGAACACUUUUACCAACAGGCUCGUAUGUACCAACUGUUGCUUGUCUAUGCCUCCAAACCAUCCAUAUGCCAAUGCCUGAUAAACUAACAAGCAGGGCGGACAAAACUCCAACAGCAACUGCCCAGAAGUGUUCCUGCCACCAUGUCAGCUUUCUUUGAGGCUCAAUCUUCCAUUUAACCAAUUGAUAGCUCCCAAAUCUCUCAGGAAACUGCAAUCUAUGAUCCCGUAACUGUAGAAUUAUGUUCAUUGCUGUGGCAUUGGAAAUAUAAUCAGCAGACUCGGCAGGAAAGAUGCCCCAUCUAACAUGGUAAUUAUUUCCUUCUGAGGUGAAAUUUAACAUAUGAACCUGCAAAUUAUCAACUUCCAACUCAUGGGCAAUGAACUCUGCUACUUCAGAUAAGUUGGGCUUCAUGUAUGAGUUGUUAACACUAAUCAACAUAUCAAAUGUUAUAAUUCUAAUUCGAAGUUCACCUGGAACAAAAUCUGGAGGCAGUACACUCGGGGCUUUAGCAGGAGGCAUUGCUUCACUUUUGUUACUACUAGGCAGAACUACAGGAACAGGAACAGGAACAGGCACCCCAGGAACUUGCCCAUAGUUCAGAACAAUUAGUUUUCCAAAAACCAAUCUUAUCAUUCUCCCGGUCAUAAGUCACAAGAGUAUUCCGUACAAUAAUUCCUCCUAAAAGAGUAGUUGGAUCCUUCCCAUUCUGGAAAAUUCCCAGGCAAUAUGCACCACUGACCUUUGUAUGCCGGAACAAGUAAUUCUCUGGAGACAGGGAUAACUUUUGACCAUUGCCAAAUACCAUAUUAACCUCAGGAAAAAUUUUUGAUAGUUGAGAAACAUCGGCCCUGAUCCAAAUUACAAUGAUGUUUUAAUUUGGAUCAGGGCCAUGGAUCUGUUUGAGGAAAUGGAUUUCCUUCACAAUAGCAUCUUUAAAUGCAAGAAAAGCUGCUUCUGGAAGGUAAGCAUAUGUAGUUCCACUGUCCAAAACUGUUCCAUGCUUUCCGUUGAAGAUUCUUGGAUUUAACUUCAAUCGUUUCCCAGCUACAUGCAGUUCCUUCAGCUCGAUAUUGUAAUAUGGACUACGGUAAGGGUC
rnacentral:misc_RNA from 1 species